rnacentral:lncRNA from 1 species
GCGGACAGAAAUAUUCUAAAAUAUAAACUGUGAUAAAGAAACCUGUAGAGGAGUUGUAAACUACUGGAUGAUGAUGGAAAACAAAGAUGUCAAGUGUAGCGGAAUAGAUCUUCAAUUCGUGGAAUUCGAGUACAGCAUACCAAUCCCAACCUUAUCAAACACACCCAAGUAAUGGCUCCAAUCCACAACUAUUUUUACUUCGGUUGCUCAACUCAAUGUAUUCACAAUGAUCACAAUAGGGUGGCUGCAAUAAGUAACCAAGAAGAGAGGAAGAUAAGUUUCAACUCCAAGAGAGAGAACACAAUAAAAGUUGGCGGCCUUUUCUCACAAUUACACACACACAGAGCUUCUUCAAGCAAUGAGGCCAAUAUAUUUUUAGGGUGUAAUAGUAAUGGGCUAAUAUAGUGGGCUCAUGGACCAACACAUGGUAAAGGGCCGGAACACAAAAGAGAGACAUUCAAGAAGUAAAUGGGUCGUGAGCAACAUUAAUUAAAUUAAGUUGCUUUCAAUGAUCCUCAAGUUGUUUUCAGGUUAAGCCAACUAAUUGAGUGUGUUGAUAGAUAUUUCACUCAUCAGCCGAAGCCUAUGAAAUAUAUCCGAAAACUGUUUAACCUCAUUGCCCAAGAUCUAUUGGGAUCAAAACCCAACAUCAGGAAAGGAAAUUUACCUCGUCCGAGUUUUCUCUUAGCAGCAAGGUUUUUUCAUCGUACACAAACCUCAUGAAUGUGUACUCCAAUUAAUUCUUUUCUUUGCAAUAAGCCAUCAAUAGGCUUUGUAUUUUAUAGUCAUGUCAAACUCGAUGGUAGAUUUCAUCUCCAUCCUACCAUGCCAAAAGCAAAAUGAUGCAAAGAGAGUGGCUAGGGUCUAGGGACCAUACAAAAACCAAUUGAGCAGCAUACAUACUUUUCAUAUAGACAAUUAAUAUAAACAAGAUGCCAAAAAAUAUUUCACUCGAAAC